CCCAAUUUUAUUUGAGAGUGACGGGCGAUUUGUACAUUCUAUGAAAACUAUUUCAAAAUUUAAUUUUUUAAAAUUUUACUUUUGAGUCCUAUUUUAUAAAAUUUUAAGUAUUAAUCUAUUCUUUUAAAUUGUAAUUAAUUUACUCUUUAAUAUAUCUUUGUCUUGAUUUGAUUUAAAAAUUUUAAAAAAUUUUAUUUAAGAUUGAAAUUUUUAAAAAUAUGAUCAAUGAUAUAAAAAAAAAAUAAUUAAAGUUGUAUUAAUUGCGUGUUUUCUAUUUAAGAAACAAAAUCCCCCAAUAAUUUAUAGAACCGCCAUUUUAUUUAAAUUUUGUUUAUUUAACUACUCAUUUAAUUUUUUUUUAAAA
rnacentral:rRNA from 1 species